rnacentral:misc_RNA from 1 species
AGCGCUCUCGGCGCGUUUCUCGGGCUGCCGAGGGCGCGCACACUGUCUGUCGCAUAUACAAUUUACCGACCACAUUACGGGCCCUUUUAGUUCCAAAUAGUGAAAUAGUGAUAGUAGUAGAUGUCGCUAGUUAGGAUUUUCACUAUAAUAUAACAUAGAUACUUCUAUAUUUUAUAUAGUUCAUAACGAAUUGGUCGUGUAAACAUCAUUCACGUGUUGCUUGGUUGUGUAACGUCUUUCACGUGUUUCUUUCGAAUGUUUAUGCAUUGUUCAUCAUGGGGAAGACAAAAGUAGAGGAGAGAAAAGGGAUAAAAGCAAAAAAUAGGCGUGCCUCGAAACCGAGAAACAGCAAAAAGAAGCCGCAGAAUCGAUACGUGUUAGAAGGAGAAAGUGAGAGUGUCAGUACAUCGGCAAAGAAACUGAAACAGAGUGAAGAUGAAUAUCAUAUCAAUGUGGACGCAACUACUGGUUAUCGUUUCAUCGAUUUUGUGACUGUUUUUGCAGCAAUGUCUGAAUUUCUAGUGUGCAAAGUGUGUAAAUCUCCCGUAAAGUUUCAAGAAGCAAGUAUUCGAGGAUUGGGUUUCAAAAUUGCAGUUCUUUGUGAACAAUGCUCACCGAAAUAUAUAAAGUCGUGUCCCGUCAUAAAUAAUCAUGCAUAUGAUAUAAAUCGUCGUAUAGUUUUUGUUAUGCGAUUGCUCGGUGUUGGUGUAAAUGGAAUUAAAAAAUUCUGUUCAUUCAUGUGUCUACUACAUCCAGUAUUCCAGUCAUUUUAUGACAAAAUCGUUUCGACUAUUUCUAUUGCUACCGCAGCCGUACGAGAGAAAUCAAUGAAGAACGCAGCUGCUAAAGAGAAAGAAUUGUCAGUACAGAAGGGACUUACAGAAGGAAUAGUAGUUUCAGGCGACGGCAUGUGGAAGAAGAGGGGAUUCUCGUCUUUAUUAGGCGUUACGUCAUUGAUAGGAUGGUGCACCGGGAAAGUCAUUGAUGUUAAUGUAAAGUCGAAAAUAUGUAAUCAAUGCAAUUACUGGAAAGGAAAAGAAGGAACGGCAGAAUACGAAGAAUGGACUGCGACACACGAAGAUAGCUGUCAAAAAAAUCACGAGGGAUUGGCUGGAAAAAUGGAGGUUGACGCAAUUAUUGAAAUGUUUCAACGAUCAGACGAACUCCAUAGUUUGAAAUAUAGUCACUACAUAGGGGAUGGAGACAGUAAAACAUAUAAAGCAAUACGCAGGAAUCAUGAUUCAAUUGUAAACAUGAAGAAAGAAAUAUGGGCCACGCUUUAUCAUAAGAUUUCUACGGAUGACAACCCGCAGUACGAUAGAUGUCCAGAUGGCGAAAAUUCCUGGUGCUCAUGGAAACAGGCUAAAGCUCGCAACGAACUUGACAAUUAUCAACACAAACCAACAAUGAAAGAUGAAGUUUUCAAUGCUGUUAAACCCAUUUAUGAAGAAUUGUGCCGCGAUGAACUAUUAUCUCGGUGCUUGGGCGGGUUUACGCAGAACAGCAACGAGUGCUUCAAUUCUGUUCUGUGGGCUCUCGCUCCUAAACCUAUGUCCAGUGGCAAAAAAAUCGUUGACAUUGCUGCUGAUAUUGCAGUAUGUAAUUUUAACGAUAGGUUACACAGCAUUAUGAACAUUAUGCAAACUUUGAACCUGCCUAUAAGUCAAAGUUGCUAUACUUUUUGUGUACAAGCCGAUAAUUAUCGCAUUCAGAGAGCGGAAGGUUCGAUGACUGAAGCUGUUCGAGAGGCUAGAAGAAGUGGUAUUUCUGCUCGCAAGCUUACCAAUGAAGAGGAUAUAGAUGCUGAAGGAGUAUUGCAUGGCGCAGGCAUUGCAGAUUGACGCGGAUUGACUUGAAACUUUGCACAAUUCUUCCCCGUGGUAUAAUCUGACGAUGAGCCACGUACAGAGCGGAAUUUGACACGCCGUCUAACAGUGUUCCUCCAAAGGAAUGUAUUUUGGCGCCAUCUACAAGAGAUUAUUUUUGACUUUUUCAGUUUCAAAAAAUGUAUAAUUACAGAUUAAAGUUACAUUAAUGAAUGACUAAAACCGAUUUUGUUUCUGCGCAC